UACGGGGGGAGCAAGCGUUGUUCGGAUUUACUGGGCGUAAAGGGCGCGUAGGCGGUCAGCACAAGUCAGUUGUGAAAUCUCCGGGCUUAACCUGGGAACUGCAUUUGUGACUGCAUAGCUAGAGUACGGUAGAGGGGGAUGGAAUUCCGCGUGUAGCAGUGAAAUGCGUAGAUAUUCGGAAGAACACCAGUGGCGAAGGCGGCUAACUGGCCCAUUACUGACGCUGAGGCGCGAAAGCUAGGGGAGCGAACAGG
rnacentral:rRNA from 1 species